rnacentral:lncRNA from 1 species
UGUCCACUUAUGGGGAUUACAGUUCCUACAUGCAAGCAGUCACUCAGUACUACUCCCAACCGGCAGCAGCCAACCAGGCCUACGCCAGCAAGGAGGUCGAUGUUUGUAAGCCUCUGGGAGUCUCUCUGCACGCUGUCAGUAAUGGUGCGGCUCCCCCGCCGGCCGUCCUGCCAGCCGCUGCCGUGCUCCCAGCCUACAGCACCCUGCCUUUAAUGCCUGGAUUCCUUGGGGCACCUCACCCAGCGGCAGCCGCUCCGAACCCUGUCACACACACACACACUGCCGCCACAGACUGGAACACCUACUACUAUAACCAGACCAGGGGCCAUAAGAGAGAGUACCCUCAGUUGGCAGUUCAGGAAGUGACAUCAUCAGAUAGUGCCUACAUAGGGCAGCACUCCCAGGGCCUGGGGGGCCAGUACGCUGACUACUUUAAGAGGAAGAGGCUCUAGUAUAAACCAAACCACCUUAAAGCCUAAAGCUUUUGGAGGAAGACACAAACAGUGUCUGCUGGAUGUCACAGCUCCCUCUAGUGGCCUUUCAGUGGCUGCCAUUUUGCAUCCCUAAAGUAGGUAUCGAGAUUAAUAGAAUUAGGGUUGCAAAUGGCUCAAGUUAAAGCAAGCCAUAGUGCUCUUUGAUCCUGGCACUUAUAUACACAAAUGCAUCCACAAAUACACACACACACACACACAUACACAAACAUGGUGUUGCUUUUGUCCUGUUAAAGCCUUAACUCUUAGGAUAUUGUUUCUGUGUCAGCUCUACUUAACUAAUAUUAACUUAGAACGUCCACUUUUUCUAGUAUAACGUUAACUAAAGUAUAUUGUAUGUGUGUGUAUAAGCUGCUUUUGUAUUUCCAGCCAGGCGAUCUGACUGUCUUAGGGCUGGGCUUACAGUCAAAAAUCUUCCUCUGCAACUCUUUUUUUUUUUUUUUUUUCAGAAGAUAAAAUCGUGUUUUGCACUCACAUGCGCUUUGAUUCGUCAGUCAAACUGACAUCUGUUUGUUCCCGCUUCAGUGUUUCUCCU